rnacentral:rRNA from 1 species
CAGUCGCCACGGGAAUACGUAGGUGGCAAGCGUUGUCCGGAAUUAUCGGGCGUAAAGCGCGCGCAGGCGGAUCAGUUAGUCUGUCUUAAAAGUUCGGGGCUUAACCCCGUGAUGGGAUGGAAACUGCUGAUCUAGAGUAUCGGAGAGGAAAGUGGAAUUCCUAGUGUAGCGGUGAAAUGCGUAGAUAUUGGGAGGAACACCAGUGGCGAAGGCGGCUUUCUGGACUGUAACUGACGCUGAGGCUCGAAAGCCAGGGGAGCGAACGGGAUUAGAUACCCCCGUAGUCCCUGUCUCUUAUACA